rnacentral:rRNA from 1 species
GACGAACGCUGGCGGCGUGCCUAAUACAUGCAAGUAGAACGCUGAAGGAGGAGCUUGCUUCUCCGGAUGAGUUGCGAACGGGUGAGUAACGCGUAGGUAACCUGCCUGGUAGCGGGGGAUAACUAUUGGAAACGAUAGCUAAUACCGCAUAAGAGUGGAUGUCGCAUGACAUUUGCUUAAAAGGUGCAACUGCACCACUACCAGAUGGACCUGCGUUGUAUUAGCUAGUUGGUGAGGUAACGGCUCACCAAGGCAACGAUACAUAGCCGACCUGAGAGGGUGAUCGGCCACACUGGGACUGAGACACGGCCCAGACUCCUACGGGAGGCAGCAGUAGGGAAUCUUCGGCAAUGGACGGAAGUCUGACCGAGCAACGCCGCGUGAGUGAAGAAGGUUUUCGGAUCGUAAAGCUCUGUUGUAAGAGAAGAACGAGUGUGAGAGUGGAAAGUUCACACUGUGACGGUAUCUUACCAGAAAGGGACGGCUAACUACGUG